CUUUGAAGGAUGUUGCAAGGCGUGAGGAGAUAAGCUAUGUGUGAAAAGAUAAGCAUAUAAGCGCAGGCCUGGCCAGUUUCCCACUCCCACUGCCUAGUCCCUCAGCCAAGAGUGACCCCCAGGGAGCUGGCCCAGGAAGUGGAUGAAGAGGAGGAAGAGGUGAACAAGAUGGUCUCAGAAGAAGCUGCCCUUUGGGCCAUCACAGAACACCUGCAAGGCAAGGAAAAACAAACUCAAGCCAGAUCUGGAGCCCCACUUGGAAUCUCACCUCGUCUAGACUGCCCUCAAGAUUACCUUUCAGAUGGGCAGUGGGAGCCACAGGAGCCACUAGAUGGAUGUAAAUCCUCCUCCUUCUCUUCCUUGUAGCCUUCAGUCACAGGAGUGACACUGGCCCCUGCUCCCUGGAACAGCUCAAGGAGCAGAGAUCAGGCUGGGGGUAGUCAGAGGUGGGAACAA